UGAGGUUAUCCGACGGCCUAAGCUGUAUCCU
rnacentral:piRNA from 1 species